UGAGGAAUAUUGGUCAAUGGGCGCGAGCCUGAACCAGCCAAGUAGCGUGAAGGAUGACUGCCCUAUGGGUUGUAAACUUCUUUUAUAGGGGAAUAAAGUUGGCCACGUGUGGCCUUUUGUAUGUACCUUAUGAAUAAGGAUCGGCUAACUCCGUGCCAGCAGCCGCGGUAAUACGGAGGAUCCGAGCGUUAUCCGGAUUUAUUGGGUUUAAAGGGAGCGUAGGCGGGGCUUAAGUCAGUUGUGAAAGUUUGCGGCUCAACCGUAAAAUUGCAGUUGAUACUGGGUCCCUUGAGUGCGGCAGAGGCAGGCGGAAUUCGUGGUGUAGCGGUGAAAUGCUUAGAUAUCAUGAAGAACUCCGAUCGCGAAGGCAAGUGCCCGGGUGCAACUGACGCUGAGGCUCGAAGGUGCGGGGUAUCGAAACAGGAUUAGAUACCC
rnacentral:rRNA from 1 species